rnacentral:rRNA from 2 species
GUGUAAAGGCACAAGGGAGCUUGACUGCGAGACCUACAAGUCGAGCAGGGACGAAAGUCGGGCUUAGUGAUCCGGUGGUUCCGCAUGGAAGGGCCAUCGCUCAACGGAUAAAAGCUACCCCGGGGAUAACAGGCUUAUCUCCCCCAAGAGUCCACAUCGACGGGGAGGUUUGGCACCUCGAUGUCGGCUCAUCGCAUCCUGGGGCUGUAGUCGGUCCCAAGGGUUGGGCUGUUCGCCCAUUAAAGCGGUACGCGAGCUGGGUUCAGAACGUCGUGAGACAGUUCGGUCCCUAUCCGUCGUGGGCGUAGGAAAUUUGAGAGGAGCUGUCCUUAGUACGAGAGGACCGGGAUGGACACACCGCUGGUGUACCAGUUGUCUUGCCAAAGGCAUCGCUGGGUAGCUAUGUGUGGACGGGAUAAGUGCUGAAAGCAUCUAAGCAUGAAGCCCCCCUCAAGAUGAGAUUUCCCAUAGCGCAAGCUAGUAAGAUCCCUGAAAGAUGAUCAGGUUGAUAGGUCAGAGGUGGAAGCGUGGCGACAUGUGUAGCUGACUGAUACUAAUCGAUCGAGGACUUAACCAAA